UUGCAUAUCAAUAAGCGGAGGAAAAGAAACCAACAGGGAUUGCCCUAGUAACGGCGAGUGAACAGGCAAGAGCUCAGAUUUGAAAGGCACUUUUGUGCCGUUGUAUUCUGAAGUUAGGGUCCUGAGAAACGAUGCUUAAGUCUUCUGGAAAGGAGCGCCAUGGAGGGUGAUAGCCCCGUCUAGCAUUGACCUCAUAUAGGAUCUUAACAUGGAGUCGAGUUGUUUGGGAAUGCAGCUCAAAUGGGUGGUAUGCUCCAUCUAAAGCUAAAUAUCUGCGAGAGACCGAUAGUAAACAAGUACUGUGAGGGAAAGAUGAAAAGAACUUUGAAAAGAGAGUGAAAAAGUACGUGAAAUUGUUGAAAUGGAAGGGUAGGCCGCUAACCAUGUAGAGCCGUGUUUGGGGGGAAGAUAAAUGCUGUAGAAUGUAGCUCCUCGGAGUAUUAUAGAUGCAGUUCAUAUUCCCACCCGAGCGCGAGGAUCUCAGGUUCUACUAAAUGGUGGUCUACCACCCGUCUUGAA
rnacentral:rRNA from 1 species